rnacentral:rRNA from 1 species
UGGGGAAUAUUGGACAAUGGGGGAAACCCUGAUCCAGCAAUGCCGCGUGAGUGAUGAAGGCCUUAGGGUUGUAAAGCUCUUUUACCAGGGAUGAUAAUGACAGUACCUGGAGAAUAAGCUCCGGCUAACUCCGUGCCAGCAGCCGCGGUAAUACGGAGGGAGCUAGCGUUGUUCGGAAUUACUGGGCGUAAAGCGCGCGUAGGCGGUUACUCAAGUCAGGGGUGAAAUCCCGGAGCUCAACUCCGGAACUGCCCUUGAAACUAGGUGACUAGAAUCUUGGAGAGGCGAGUGGAAUUCCGAGUGUAGAGGUGAAAUUCGUAGAUAUUCGGAAGAACACCAGUGGCGAAGGCGACUCGCUGGACAAGUAUUGACGCUGAGGUGCGAAAGCGUGGGGAGCAAACAGGAUUAGAUACCCCCGUAGUCC